rnacentral:lncRNA from 1 species
AUUCGUCUGUCUCUCACGCGACGCCACGUAAACUUUGAAAACUCCCCAUCUGAUAUGAAGUUCGCAUUCUGAUUAUG